rnacentral:rRNA from 1 species
UACGUAGGGUGCAAGCGUUAAUCGGAAUUACUGGGGCGUAAAGCGUGCGCAGGCGGCUAUGCAAGACAGAUGUGAAAUCCCCGGGCUCAACCUGGGAACUGCAUUUGUGACUGCAUAGCUAGAGUACGGUAGAGGGGGAUGGAAUUCCGCGUGUAGCAGUGAAAUGCGUAGAUAUGCGGAGGAACACCGAUGGCGAAGGCAAUCCCCUGGACCUGUACUGACGCUCAUGCACGAAAGCGUGGGGAGCAAACAGGAU